rnacentral:rRNA from 1 species
AGUGAACGCUGGCGGUAGGCCUAACACAUGCAAGUCGAACGGCAGCACAGAGGAGCUUGCUCCUUGGGUGGCGAGUGGCGGACGGGUGAGGAAUACAUCGGAAUCUACUCUGUCGUGGGGGAUAACGUAGGGAAACUUACGCUAAUACCGCAUACGACCUACGGGUGAAAGCAGGGGAUCUUCGGACCAUGCGCGAUUGAAUGAGCCGAUGUCGGAUUAGCUAGUUGGCGGGGUAAAGGCCCACCAAGGCGACGAUCCGUAGCUGGUGUGAGAGGAUGAUCAGCCACACUGGAACUGAGACACGGUCCAGACUCCUACGGGAGGCAGCAGUGGGGAAUAUUGGACAAUGGGCGCAAGCCUGAUCCAGCCAUACCGCGUGGGUGAAGAAGGCCUUCGGGUUGUAAAGCCCUUUUGUUGGGAAAGAAAUCCAUCUGGUUAAUACCCGGGUGGGAUGACGGUACCCAAAGAACAAGCACCGGCUAACUUCGUGCCAGCCGCCGCCGUAA